GGAGGGGUGACUGAGUGGUUUAAAGUACCGGUCUUGAAAACCGGCGUGGGUUUAUAGCCCACCCAGGGUUCGAAUCCCUGCCCCUCCGCCA
rnacentral:tRNA from 1 species